rnacentral:misc_RNA from 1 species
AACGCACCUUGCGCUCCUUGGUAUUCCGAGGAGCAUGCCUGUUUGAGUGUCAUGGAAUUUCUCAACCUCUGAAAGCGUUUUCUUUUUGUGAAUCGUUUUCGGAGGCUUGGACUUGGGGGUCGUGUCGGCUUGCAAAGGUCGACUCCUCUGAAAUGUAUCAGCGCGAACCUUUUACGGAUCGGCCUUCGGUGUGAUAUUAAACGUCUACGCUGUGGUCGUAAAGUAUUGAUUAUAUGUUCGUGCUUCGAAUCGUCUCUUUAACGAGAGACAGAACUUUGUUCUUUUGACAAUCUGACCUCAAAUCAGGUAGGACUACCCGCUGAACUUAA